UGGGGAAUAUUGGACAGUGGGCGGAAGCCUGAUCCAGCAACGCCGCGUGGAGGAUGAAGGUCUUCGGGUUGUAAACUCCUUUCAGCAGGAACGAAAUUGACGGUACCUGCAGAAGAAGCCCCGGCCAACUACGUGCCAGCAGCCGCGGUAAUACGUAGGGGGCUAGCGUUGUCCGGAAUUAUUGGGCGUAAAGAGCUCGUAGGCGGCUUGGCAAGUCGGGUGUGAAAACUUCAGGCUCAACCUGGAGGUGCCACUCGAUACUGCUAUGGCUAGAGUCCGGUAGGGGACCACGGAAUUCCUGGUGUAGCGGUGAAAUGCGCAGAUAUCAGGAGGAACACCGGUGGCGAAGGCGGUGGUCUGGGCCGGCACUGACGCUGAGGAGCGAAAGCGUGGGUAGCAAA
rnacentral:rRNA from 1 species